CUUAAUGGUUUGAUAUCUGUUUGUGUGGAACAAUUGUCUUUAGAAGAGAGAAUUGAAUUCGACAGAAAGAGAGAGUGAAAGAGAGAGAGAGUUCGAUUCGAUCUUCUGUUGUUGGUAGCUUAUCAAAGAAUUGCAAUCCCUAACCAAGUACCCCGAAUUGGGAAUGGAAAAUAUGAUAACCCUAUCUGACCAAGUCUUCGCAUUAGGUAGAAGGCAGUUUUGGAAGUGGUUUGGGGGAAACAAAAGGUUCAGAUGACUGAAAACAAUUGCCAUCUAAUGGGAAUGUACUAUCAAGCUUCUAUACAGAAAGAUAAAGCUAAUAGCAGAUAGACUUGAGGUCAUUGAUUCUCGCCGCAAAAACUUUGGUGCACAGAUGAGGAAAGACGAUGACUAAACUCGAAAUGACUGGGUAUAAAGUUACAAGUUCAUUGGGUUGCAAAUGCAUAUAAGAUUAACUGGUAUAAUAGACAUCCAAAUUCAUCAAAUGGUACAGCAAAGAUCAAGCAAUCUUAAUCUGCAGUGGGGUUACGGAAUGAGAGGUGGGAGACGAUCAAGAUCAAAUUAGAGAGAGUAAGAAAUGCAUAAAGAGAGAUGAGGGGAAAAUGGAGAAGUGUAUUAUUCAUUUUCAGAGGCAUUCCUUAUAUAGAG